rnacentral:rRNA from 1 species
GAUGAACGCUGGCGGCGCGCCUAACACAUGCAAGUCGAACGAUUAAAGACCUUCGGGUGUGUAUAAAGUGGCGAACGGCUGAGUAACACGUGGGCAACCUGCCCCUUUCAUUGGGAUAGCCACGGGAAACCGUGGAUAAUACCGAAUACUUCGAGACUUCCGCAUGGAAGACUCGAGAAAGCUCCGGCGGAGAGGGAUGGGCCCGCGGCCUGUUAGCUUGUUGGUGGGGUAACGGCCUACCAAGGCAAUGAUGGGUAGCUGGGUUGAGAGACCGACCAGCCAGAUUGGGACUGAGACACGGCCCAGACUCCUACGGGAGGCAGCAGUGGGGAAUCUUGCACAAUGGGCGAAAGCCUGAUGCAGCGACGCCGCGUGCGGGGUGAAGGCCUUCGGGUUGUAAACCGCUUUCAGCAGGGACGAGGCGAAGGUGACGGUACCUGCAGAAGAAGCCCCGGCUAACUACGUG